rnacentral:rRNA from 1 species
AUUGAACGCUGGCGGAAGGCCUAACACAUGAAAGUCGAGAGGAGCGGCGGACGGGUGAGUAAUGCCUAGGAAUCUGCCUGGUAGUGGGGGAUAACGUACGGAAACGGGCGCUAAUACCGCAUACUAUCAUAUGAGCAUAGGUCGGAUUAGCUAGUUGGAGGGGUAAAGGCCUACCAAGGCGACGAUCCGUAACUUGUCUGAGAGGAUGAUGAGUCAAGCUGGAACUGAGACACGGUCCAGACUCCUACGGGAGGCAGCAGUGGGGAGUAUUGUACCAGGAGCGAAAGCCUGAUCCAGCCAUGCAACGUGUGUGAAGAAGUUCUUAGGAUUGUAAAGCACUUUAAGUUGAAGGGCGUUACCAACAGGAUAAGCACCUACUAACUUCGUGCCAGACGCCACGGGAAUAC